rnacentral:rRNA from 1 species
CUACGGGAGGCACCAGUGGGGAAUAUUGCACAAUGGGCGCAAGCCUGAUGCAGCCAUGCCGCGUGUAUGAAGAAGGCCUUCGGGUUGUAAAGUACUUUCAGCGGGGAGGAAGGGAGUAAAGUUAAUACCUUUGCUCAUUGACGUUACCCGCAGAAGAAGCACCGGCUAACUCCGGGCCAGCAGCCGCGGUAAUACGGAGGGUGCAAGCGUUAAUCGGAAUUACUGGGCGUAAAGCGCACGCAGGCGGUUUGUUAAGUCAGAUGUGAAAUCCCCGGGCUCAACCUGGGAACUGCAUCUGAUGCUGGCAAGCUUGAGUCUCGUAGAGGGGGGUAGAAUUCCAGGUGUAGCGGUGAAAUGCGUAGAGAUCUGGAGGAAUACCGGUGGCGAAGGCGGCCCCCUGGACGAAGACUGACGCUCAGGUGCGAAAGCGUGGGGAGCAAACAGGAUUAGAUACCCCUGUAGUC